rnacentral:tRNA from 1 species
GCCGAGGUGGCGGAAUUGGUAGACGCGGCGGACUUAAAAUCCGCUGAGCCGCCAGGCUCGUGUGGGUUCGAAUCCCGCCCUCGGCACCA